rnacentral:rRNA from 1 species
AUUGAACGCUGGCGGCAGGCCUAACACAUGCAAGUCGAACGGUAACAGGAAGAAGCUUGCUUCUUUGCUGACGAGUGGCGGACGGGUGAGUAAUGUCUGGGAAACUGCCUGAUGGAGGGGGAUAACUACUAGAAACGGUAGCUAAUACCGCAUAAUGUCGCAAGACCAAAGAGGGGGACCUUCGGGCCUCUUGCCAUCGGAUGUGCCCAGAUGGGAUUAGCUAGUAGGUGGGGUAACGGCUCACCUAGGCGACGAUCCCUAGCUGGUCUGAGAGGAUGACCAGCCACACUGGAACUGAGACACGGUCCAGACUCCUACGGGAGGCAGCAGUGGGGAAUAUUGCACAAUGGGCGCAAGCCUGAUGCAGCUAUGCCGCGUGUAUGAAGAAGGCCUUCGGGUUGUAAAGUACUUUCAGCGGGGAGGAAGGGAGUAAAGUUAAUACCUUUGCUCAUUGACGUUACCCGCAGAAGAAGCACCGGCUAACUCCGUG